GUCCGUGAGUGCCAGUACCAGGCCAGAAGUACGAGCAUAUCUUUCCAGGGUGAAGAAUUUAGAGCACUCACGGAUGAUUUGUCUUUGCAGUUUAUUCCUUUGCGACGAGAUCACGGGCACCGGCGGUGGUGUCGAGAAAUCUCCCCCCACGCGGACGAUGCGCAGCAAUUGCUUCUGCACGGUCUGUCGCGCAACCGCUGACUCAGGCUGCGGCUGCCCAGCUCGGACAUCAGGUCACGAACCUGCGCCAUAGCGACCACCUGGACCGUCACGACGUGCGAGGGUUGCUCACGACGACGACUCUGCGAUAGUCUACACGGCUGUAUCCUGCAGACGGCGUUCUACCUGGUGUCAUCAUGGUGAAGAUCUCAGAGUUCCAGAGCAGCGGGCUCACCGGACGUGGCGAUGAUGGCGAGGAUCUUCCCACCACGGACUUCGGACGACAAUCCUUCGAUUGGAAGCAACUUGCUGCGAGUCCGCCGAACAGCCGCUGACCCAGACUGGAGAGGUUCAGCUCAAACAUCAGGUCUCGAACCUGCGUCCGAGCAGCCACAUUCAACGUCAUGGCGACGUGGCCAUACGCACCGUUGCUGAAAAUUACGACAAACGCGUGGUUACGCACACACAAAAAUAAAGUCUGAAAACACCGCAGGCCAAAAGGCCAGAUGACGAUGGCGACGUGUAACGCCCAUGCCGUGCAAGACAACUCACGCUUCACGUACCAGGAGUCGAUCUAACUACAAGUGUUUACGGGGUA
rnacentral:lncRNA from 1 species